UACGAAGGGGGCUAGCGUUGCUCGGAAUCACUGGGCGUAAAGGGUGCGUAGGCGGACGUUUAAGUGUCUUGUGAAAUCCCACGGCUCAACCGUGGAACUGCUGGGCAUACUGGACGUCUCGAGGCACUCAGGGGCGAGCGGAACAAGUGGUGGAGCGGUGAAAUGCGUAGAUAUCACUUGGAACGCCAAUGGUGAAGACAGCUCGCUGGGGGUGUCCUGACGCUGAGGCGCGAAAGCCAGGGGAGCGAACGGG
rnacentral:rRNA from 1 species